rnacentral:lncRNA from 1 species
AAAUGGGUCUUAGCGUUUAAAUUGUAAGACAAGGUAGUACGUAUUGAGCUUGGUUGAGAAGCACAUGCAACUAUAAAUACUUGUUGAGACAGACGAUUUUGUACGGAUAUGUUACUAGUCCACAAUUAUCAAAGAAUAAUUUGCAAAGUAACCAUCUUAGACAAUGUCAGUGUAAAAUUCUAUUCAAACUCAAUCUGUGAUAAGGUAAGUACUGUAGUUAUGAAGAUUGCUAAAUUAUUCUAACUUGAGCAAAUUAAUCUAGUCGAGAAGGAAACUAGUUAUUACCAAAUCGAUUCCAUUUUGUAUAAAUAUCAAACUUUCCA